ensembl:lncRNA
AUGCUGCAUGACAGGCACUGUCUGGCCUUGGGGACCCAGCGGGACAAAGCCUUUGGGUGGGACCUUUCAGCAGUAGGAAGGACAGGGGAAAGAGACUCAAGUGCCUUUGACAACGAGGAUUUUCUGAGUCCUAUAUGGGACACUUAUAUUCUAAUACUCUUCACUCUAAUUUCUCUCUUUCACUCUAAGGAAGUGAAACAGGCCUUUGCUUUAAAGGAGAGAGGAAGAACCAGACUGUGUUUGCUCUGUAGCUCUGCAGGGGAUGGGCUGAGCCUGUCCCUGCAGAGCACAGCAAUGGGAACAGGUUGUGGAGGUGAGGAAGACAUUUGGAGGCCUGCCUUGCCCCUGGUGCUGCCUGGGCUGUCCCUGGUGACUUCUCUUACCCAGCAGCCCUGGUCCUUGCUCUGCUCUGUGGCCGUGGAGAGGGAGCUCAGCCUGCGAGUCCAGGUGCCAUACAGUUGUGAGCUGCCUCCUAGAUGUGUCUGGGGAGAACUUCCAUCCUGUCCCCAGGCGGCCUUUGUGGCAGUGGAGGGGGAGGAUAUGUUCCCUUUGUGCGGGUGCCACCAGGGGUCUGAACUCUUCACCCCCCCGAGAGGCAGCUGAAAGAGGACGCGAGGUGAUGGUGAGUUAAGGUAUUUGGCCUGUUGAGAAGGUGUGCGAGUAGUGGUGGUGGUGGUGAGGUCUGGCUGGUACUUGUGGGGGUUAGUCUGUCCCUGAUUUACUGCCUUGCAUUCUCCUGCUUUUCCCGAUUGCUGCCUGUGUCCUUGACCCCUGUGCAUGAGAGAUGGGGCGGCUUUUUGCAAUGAAUGCCGGGACACUUGAUCCGUGAUCUGGUAAGGUACUACAGAGGCAUGUGCUCACCCAGAGGGGCCUCCCCUCUGUCUCUGCCUUCUUCACGCCGCUCUGCAAGCGCUUGUGUCCGUUGCAGCCAGAGUCCCUGGCACUGCAGCCUGAAGGCUACCCAAAUAUCACUUUGUUGCACUAAGAUUGCAUUUGUUUUUUGUCUCUGGCAAGUGAAUGGCCCGGGAUGACUGUUCAGUGCAGUUCAAACUGUGCGGUAUCUAGGCUUGAAUCCCAUUUCAGUGGCAUGCUCCUCUUGCAAGGGUUAUGCAGUCUGCUCCUGUGCCAGAUGGGGGAUUUUUUGUGCCUGGGUGGGUGGUUCUCAGACUUGUUCUUUGGCCUAGUAGGGACAAGGCUAGAUGUAUAUGUGCUCUGCAAAUUGCUUGUGUGUCAGUGAACCCUUACCAUAGACAGGUACAUAUUCAAAGAUCCUGGCAGGGACACCAAUACAUAAAAAGAAUAGUUCGGUCAGUUUGAUCGACUUGGUGAUUUGACAGUGCAGGAUGACACCUUUCAUCUUGAUGUCUCCGAUUCAAAUCCAGGCCAGGAAGCUGUUGCUCUCAGUUAUGUGGCAGUAUAUGCAGAAGGCUCUUGGACAGCGUGUGGAGGGAUGCUGCACAGGAACCUAGAGAAGUAGGCAAGGGAAGUUAGCAGCAUCCUCAUGAACGCAUAGAAACAUCUCCAAGCUCCUCCAGAAGCACCAGUGUUCUAGGCCAGUUUAUUCACAGCUCAUCUACUCCCAAAAUCCCAGUGGCAAGCAAGC